CUAAGUCUCAAAUAUACUUUUGGCUAGAAGUUAAUUUUUUCUAGUUCCCUAAAAUGGUUUCUACUCAAAAGUAUAUUUUUUCUUCAAUUUUGAAAAAAAGUACUUUUUUUGAAAGGAAAAAACUGCUUUUUGAUUUGGACUAUAAGAUCUGUGCUAUUUUGGAAAACAAAAAAAAUGCUUCUGGCUCCCAAAUAUUUGGCAAAACAUGACAUUCUUUUGAAAAUAGGAAAAGGUUACAAAAGUUGCGGAGAAAUGGGCAGUACCCAGUAAGCGGAUCCUCAGUUGCAAAGUUUUCUUCUUUCUGGAACUGUGGCGUAUUUUAAAAGCUCCAAAAGUUCUCUCGGCAAUUGAGGUACAAGCAGAAUUCCCUGCUCGACUCUCGUGAGCCAAGUUUGGCAGGCCCAGUGCUGCUCUGUUUGCCUGUGUCCAACCACGCUGUAUUUUACAUUCCCAGUCUCUAUUGAGCAGACUUCCACUGUCUUGAAGCCUCUCUUGAGUAUGCUGGUUGGAUGAAUGGUCUCCCAAUCAUGCAAGAUUCUUUCAACAUUUGUUAAUCUCAAUGUUCGAAAGAUGCCAAAUCACAACUACGUUUCGGGUGAGAAACCAUUCUUCUUAUGUGAUGAUCACGCGAGGAUUGAAAACGAAGUGGCUGUCCGAUUUAUGGUGUUUGCUGUGAGAUGGAACGAUGAUCGUAGGAAUUUCGACGUUCUUGCAAGCAUAACAGGUGAUUCCCUUGGGCCAAUUUCACUGAAUGGAUUAGAUGGUUUAGAGCUUUAAAUUUCUUUAUAGGAAAGGAAAAGAGAAAGUGUAUUGUUAGAGUAGUUUCUCUUACCAAAUCAAAAUAGGAAAACAGGAAACCUUGUAUAGGUUUUAUUGGAUGUGAAUGAGUUAUCAGUGAGAUUAUAAUUCUAAAUGGCAGUGUUACAGCUUUGCUAAGAAUGUAUUGAAGAAAUGAAAAUGGUUGAGAUAGCCCAAAUUUCUUUA